AGUGAACGCUGGCGGCGUGCUUAACACAUGCAAGUCGAACGAGAACGGAAUAUAGCUUGCUAUAUUUGCCAGCUAAGUGGCGCACGGGUGAGUAAUGUAUAGAUAACCUGCCCUUAAGAAAGGAAUAACAGUUGGAAACGACUGCUAAUGCCCUAUAUGCCUUUAAUACAUAAGUAUGCAAGGGAAACGCUUUAGUGCUUGAGGAUGGGUCUGUAUGGUAUCAGCUUGUUGGUGAGGUAAUGGCUCACCAAGGCUAUGACGCCUAACUGGUUUGAGAGGAUGAGCAGUCACACUGGAACUGAGACACGGUCCAGACUCCUACGGGAGGCAGCAGUGGGGAAUAUUGCACAAUGGACGAAAGUCUGAUGCAGCAACGCCGCGUGGAGGAUGACACAUUUCGGUGCGUAAACUCCUUUUAUAUAGGAAGAUAAUGACGGUACUAUAUGAAUAAGCACCGGCUAACUCCGUGCCAGCCGCCGCCGUAA
rnacentral:rRNA from 1 species